rnacentral:rRNA from 1 species
GAAACGGUAGCUAAUACCGCAUAACGUCGCAAGACCAAAGAGGGGGACCUUAGGGCCUCUUGCCAUCGGAUGUGCCCAGAUGGGAUUAGCUAGUAGGUGGGGUAACGGCUCACCUAGGCGACGAUCCCUAGCUGGUCUGAGAGGAUGACCAGCCACACUGGAACUGAGACACGGUCCAGACUCCUACGGGAGGCAGCAGUGGGGAAUAUUGCACAAUGGGCGCAAGCCUGAUGCAGCCAUGCCGCGUGUAUGAAGAAGGCCUUCGGGUUGUAAAGUACUUUCAGCGGGGAGGAAGGGAGUAAAGUUAAUACCUUUGCUCAUUGACGUUACCCGCAGAAGAAGCACCGGCUAACUCCGUGCCAGCAGCCGCGGUAAUACGGAGGGUGCAAGCGUUAAUCGGAAUUACUGGGCGUAAAGCGCACGCAGGCGGUUUGUUAAGUCAGAUGUGAAAUCCCCGGGCUCAACCUGGGAACUGCAUCUGAUACUGGCAAGCUUGAGUCUCGUAGAGGGGGGUAGAAUUCCAGGUGUAGCGGUGAAAUGCGUAGAGAUCUGGAGGAAUACCGGUGGCGAAGGCGGCCCCCUGGACGAAGACUGACGCUCAGGUGCGAAAGCGUGGGGAGCAAACAGGAUUAGAUACCCUGGUAGUCCACGCCGUAAACGAUGUCGACUUGGAGGUUGUGCCCUUGAGGCGUGGCUUCCGGAGCUAACGCGUUAAGUCGACCGCCUGGGGAGUACGGCCGCAAGGUUAAAACUCAAAUGAAUUGACGGGGGCCCGCACAAGCGGUGGAGCAUGUGGUUUAAUUCGAUGCAACGCGAAGAACCUUACCUGGUCUUGACAUCCACGGAAGUUUUCAGAGAUGAGAAUGUGCCUUCGGGAACCGUGAGACAGGUGCUGCAUGGCUGUCGUCAGCUCGUGUUGUGAAAUGUUGGGUUAAGUCCCGCAACGAGCGCAACCCUUAUCCUUUGUUGCCAGCGGUCCGGCCGGGAACUCAAAGGAGACUGCCAGUGAUAAACUGGAGGAAGGUGGGGAUGACGUC